rnacentral:rRNA from 1 species
CAGCCGCCGCGGUAAUACGGAGGGUGCAAGCGUUAAUCGGAAUUACUGGGCGUAAAGCGCACGCAGGCGGUUUGUUAAGUCAGAUGUGAAAUCCCCGAGCUUAACUUAGGAAUUGCAUUCGAUACUGGGAAGCUAGAGUAUGGGAGAGGAUGGUAGAAUUCCAGGUGUAGCGGUGAAAUGCGUAGAGAUCUGGAGGAAUACCGAUGGCGAAGGCAGCCAUCUGGCCUAAUACUGACGCUGAGGUACGAAAGCAUGGGGAGCAAACAGGAUUAGAUACCCCAGUAGUCCCUGUCUCUUAUAC